GAUCAGAUCCGGCCGGCGGAGGGGUCGGGAGUGUAUAAGAUGCCGGUGUUGGACAGUGCCACAGGGGAGGAGGCUGUCUGUGUGGGAGUCACUGCCGGGACACUUGACCGGCGCCUUUCGGAGCGUGGGAGGGACAUAGUGGGAGGCAGGACAUCAACGGCGUUGGCAGCAGCGGCCUGUGGAGGAGACAUGUCGGUCGAUUGGAGGGCGGCAGGGGUGGUUGGGCCUUUGAAGAGGGAGAGGCGCGCAGUUUUGGCAGAGGCCAUGGAGAUGUGUGGAAGCGAGUGGAAUGAGAAGCCCC
rnacentral:lncRNA from 1 species